rnacentral:lncRNA from 7 species
AGAGCCGUUGCCCUGGCAACGCCCACGCCACAUCAUCCGCUCUUUCGAGAGCUUGCCGGGCUGCUCUGUUACCUCGGGGUUCCUUGAAUGAAGGAACCGACCGAACCCCUCCCUGUACCUCGCGAUCAGUCGCUGUGGUUCUGGCCGGGACAGCUCCGAAGCAACUAACCUCGGCGAUCAAGGGAUCAUUAUCAAAGAGGAAUUCACUCACCCCUCCCAGCAAUAGUUUGGAGAAAGGGACGAGCUGAGGAAUGCAACCUUCUCCUGUUCGUACUGUCCCGCCGCAGGAGAAGGGCGGGGGGAAGGGGAACCCGCUCAGACUCAGACUGCACACGCUCUCCGGGAAGCAUUGCUGGGACAGAAAGGUGAAAUAUAUAUCAGCCAUAAUUUACCUCUGAGAGCUGAGCUGUAGCUGUGACAUGCUAUGGAAAAUGGCUGCAGAUUGGGAAGGAGGAAGUCUGAGAUAAUGAUACCCUGCAAGUGACUUCUUUGACAUACGUUUGUGUAUGACAAAUGUGACAAUCAGUAAGCAUACAGUAAAGGGCUUGGGAAUCAUCUGUAAUGUCUGUCAUUUUUCUCUAGGAAACCAUACAAUAUUUUAUUUGCAGUGAUAAUAAUUAAUAUUUAUACACAGCCUAAGUAAAACUAAGAUUUUGUUUGUUUGUUUUUUGUUGUUGUUUGUUUUUUUUGUUUGUUUUUUUGUUAUGCUCUGAAAUUAAGUUGAUUUCUUACUCGAAAAGUUGAUUGAAUAUAUGGAAAAAUCUUAUUUCUUUUAUGCCUGCUUCUCACAUGCUAUAUAUAUGUAUGACCUGGAUAAAAAUAGUAAGUAUAGAUAUAGUUUUUAUCAUUUAAGUCUGUUCAGCACCUCCCAGAGAUAAGAAACAUUUGUCACAUUUUGAAGGGGUUUUCAUUGACAAAGGCUUCAAUCAUGCAGAAAGCUGUUUUCAAAUUUCCAUAAAACAAAGCAUACACCAUUUACAUGAUAAAUUGCUCCUAGACAAGAAUCUUAGCUGACUACCCAAGUGCUUGAUUGUGUUAUCACUGAUUUGUCCUUCAGUUUUCAGCAGAAUGAAAAUGAAGGACUUGCAACUAAUUGUGCCAGGAAAACAGAGCUAAUUUACUCACUGUGCC